rnacentral:rRNA from 1 species
CAGCCGCCGCGGUAAUACGUAGGGUGCAAGCGUUAAUCGGAAUUACUGGGCGUAAAGCGUGCGCAGGCGGUUUGUUAAGGCAGAUGUGAAAUCCCCGGGCUUAACCUGGGAACUGCAUUUGUGACUGGCAAGCUAGAGUAUGGCAGAGGGGGGUGGAAUUCCACGUGUAGCAGUGAAAUGUGUAGAGAUGUGGAGGAACACCGAUGGCGAAGGCAGCCCCCUGGGCCAAUACUGACGCUCAUGCACGAAAGCGUGGGGAGCAAACAGGAUUAGAUACCCCUGUAGUCCCUGUCUCUUAUAC